rnacentral:rRNA from 1 species
UUCCUACGGGAGGCAGCAGUGAGGAAUAUUGGUCAAUGGGCGGGAGCCUGAACCAGCCAAGUCGCGCGAGGGAAGACUGCCCUAUGGGUCGUAAACCUCUUUUGUCAGGGAGCAACGCCGGCUACGUGUAGCCGGACUGAGAGUACCUGAAGAAAAAGCAUCGGCUAACUCCGUGCCAGCAGCCGCGGUAAUACGGAGGAUGCGAGCGUUAUCCGGAUUUAUUGGGUUUAAAGGGUGCGUAGGCGGAAUGCCAAGUCAGCGGUAAAAUCGCGGGGCUCAACCUCGCUCCGCCGUUGAGACUGGCG